AAAUGCAACAAAUGGCGUUAUCCAUUUAAUUGACAAAGUACUUACAGAGAUCCCAACUCAAAAUAUCGUACAGUUUGCUGCAAGUCAAAAAGAUUUUUCGAGUCUUGUAUUCGCAGUAGUUAGUGCUAAACUUGGAGCAACAUUAUCAGAGGUGCUAACGUACCAUGUUGUUAAGGGAACAGUCUACAGUGUCGAACUAUCAAACGGAAUGGUACCAACUGUAGAGGGCAAAUCAGUAAAAGUAGAUCUUUGUUCAGGUGGUGUGGUGGUCAACGAUGCCAAGGUUACCAUGGCCGAUAUACCCGUCACAAAUGGCGUCAUCCAUGUUAUUGACACAGUUUUGUUGCCUCCAAAAUAAGAAAAACAUUAUAAUGUUAUUGUAAAUACAGUUCUAGUGUAUAUUGUUAUAUA